GAGGAUUUGUAGCAUGUUUAAAGCGUUAU
rnacentral:piRNA from 1 species